rnacentral:lncRNA from 1 species
AUCAUUUAGAUGCACCUAUAUUAAAAUAAACAUACACAAAAAGGAGAAUGAGAGACCUGGGAUAGGGCACUAUGCCGCUCUUACUUAGGCAUGGAUCCAGAAUUACCUUGGCUUCAUGGUAAUGAAAUCGGGGUAUAUCUUUUCUCCAUCAACACAAGCAAACAUCAUAGGGUUUUCUAGAAACUAUAAAGGAGAUUAUGCUUCAGGGGGACAAAGAGCAUAUCGAAAAGAACAGGAGAGCUCUAACUGUGGUAGGUGUUCAAUGGGCUAAUAGAGCUCUCUGUCACUUCUCUCUUCUCUCCUACCCUAUUUCGUCCUUUCCCUCAGCCUUU